rnacentral:rRNA from 1 species
UGAAAGCCUGGGGUGCCCCGCGAGGGGAGCCCUAGCACAGGUGCUGCAUGGCCGUCGUCAGCUCGUGCCGUGAGGUGUUGGGUUAAGUCCCGCAACGAGCGCAACCCCGCCGUUAGUUGCCAGCGGUUCGGCCGGGGCACUCUAACGGGGACUGCCCGCGAAAGCGGGAGGAAGAGGGGACGACGUCUGGUCAGCAUGGCCCUUACGGCCUGGGCGACACACGUGCUACAAUGCCCACUACAAAGCGAUGCCACCCGGCAACGGGGAGCUAAUCGCAAAAAGGUGGGCCCAGUUCGGAUUGGGGUCUGCAACCCGACCCCAUGAAGCCGGAAUCGCUAGUAAUCGCGGAUCAGCCAUGCCGCGGUGAAUACGUUCCCGGGCCUU